AGCUUUGCGCAGUGGCAGUAUCGUAGCCAAUGAGGUUUAUCCGAGGCGCGAUUAUUGCUAAUUGAAAAUUAAUUUAGAUUUUUCACAGAUAAUGCUUUGUAUGUGACUCUUUAACUCAAUACAUAACUCAAUUUCAUCCAUAAAAAAGCAUAUCUUAUCAAAUUACCUGAAGUUCUUUUUGAAGA
rnacentral:snRNA from 1 species